GGCCAGUGAUGUAAUCAAAAUAUUUGCUACUCUUGAUGGAGAACGCUCUUCUUUCAAUUGAUGAUUGGUUAACCACCAAGAUCUCUGAGGCC
rfam:Arabidopsis lyrata subsp. lyrata unplaced genomic scaffold ARALYscaffold_7, whole genome shotgun sequence.